rnacentral:rRNA from 1 species
UAGAGUUUGAUCCUGGCUCAGAUUGAACGCUGGCGGCAGGCUUAACACAUGCAAGUCGAGCGGAGAUGAGGUGCUUGCACCUUAUCUUAGCGGCGGACGGGUGAGUAAUGCUUAGGAAUCUGCCUAUUAGUGGGGGACAACAUUCCGAAAGGAAUGCUAAGUACCGCAUACGUCCUACGGGAGAAAGCAGGGGAUCUUCGGACCUUGCGCUAAUAGAUGAGCCUAAGUCGGAUUAGCUAGUUGGUGGGGUAAAGGCCUACCAAGGCGACGAUCUGUAGCGGGUCUGAGAGGAUGAUCCGCCACACUGGGACUGAGACACGGCCCAGACUCCUACGGGAGGCAGCAGUGGGGAAUAUUGGACAAUGGGGGGAACCCUGAUCCAGCCAUGCCGCGUGUGUGAAGAAGGCCUUAUGGUUGUAAAGCACUUUAAGCGAGGAGGAGGCUACUGAGACUAAUACUCUUGGAUAGUGGACGUUACUCGCAGAAUAAGCACCGGCUAACUCUGUGCCAGCAGCCGCGGUAAUACAGAGGGUGCGAGCGUUAAUCGGAUUUACUGGGCGUAAAGCGUGCGUAGGCGGCUUUUUAAGUCGGAUGUGAAAUCCCCGAGCUUAACUUGGGAAUUGCAUUCGAUACUGGGAAGCUAGAGUAUGGGAGAGGAUGGUAGAAUUCCAGGUGUAGCGGUGAAAUGCGUAGAGAUCUGGAGGAAUACCGAUGGCGAAGGCAGCCAUCUGGCCUAAUACUGACCGCUGAGGUACGAAAGCCUGGGGAGCANACAGGAUUAGAUACCCUGGUAGUUCCAUGCCGUAAACGAUGUCUACUAGCCCGUUGGGGCCUUUGAAGCUUUANUGG